UACGUAGGUGGCAAGCGUUGUCCGGAAUUACUGGGCGUAAAGCGCAUGUAGGCGGCAUCGCAAGUCGGGCGUGAAAUCCCACGGCUCAACCGUGGAAGUGCACUCGAAACUGCGCAGCUAGAGUCCUGGAGAGGAAGGUGGAAUGCUUGGUGUAGAGGUGAAAUUCGUAGAUAUCAAGCGGAACACCGGUGGCGAAGGCGGCCUUCUGGACAGUGACUGACGCUGAGAUGCGAAAGCGUGGGGAGCAAACAGG
rnacentral:rRNA from 1 species